UUUUCAAGGCAUAGCGCACUUUGCUUAUCGAAAGAAAGGGGAAAAUUCAUCUGGAAAAUGGCUGCCACCAGCCAGUUACCGAUUUAUCCCUUUCUUGCAUAGCUAGUUUUAACGUGAAUAGUAACAAUGACGUCGCUUCACCAUAGCACUCGCAUGAGUUUCUCUGUCUCGCUCGCAUCAAUAGUCUCUUUCGCCACCUUACGACUUCGGGUAUUAUCGGUGAACUACGAUGUUUAUUCGGCACAUCGGCUGACCAGUCACUGUUCACACUGAGAUCGUCUCUGCUCUCUUCGUUUACCUAUUACAUUGCUACUUUCGGAUAGUAGAUACACUGUUGCCACUAACUAGUCUUCUGAUUAAUGAGAAUAUAUAUAUAUAUAUAUAUAUAUAUAUGCAUAUAUGUAAAUCAAUUAUUCUGAACAACAAUAGAUUAUUAUUCUUAAAAUUUAUUAUCAUAUUUAAAAAAAAAUAAAUAAUUUUCUUUGAUAACUAAUAGACGAAAAAAAAAAAAAUUUUUUUUUAUAAAAUUUAUAUUGUGAGUAUAAUUUAAUUAGAUAUAUGUAAUAAAAUGCCUGUGCACGUGCUAACGUAUUAUUUGCAUAUGAGCAUGUACAUGUACAUACAUAUGUACAUAUAUUUAUAUAUCAUAUUAUAAAAUGAGAAUUGUUUAAUUAUGUUUUAUAUAUAUAUAUAAAAGUUUAUUCUUAUUUCAAAUUAUCAUUUAUAUUCUAAUCUUAUUAUCGGAUUGGAACAAAAUAAUAUUAUUUGAAUAAAUAUUUUGAUAUUAAGAAUUUUAUCGAUUGAUUAUUUGAAUUGUAUGAAUUUAAUUAUAUUUUAAUAUAAUAGAGUUUUGUUCAUGUUUAUUUCAUUAUUAUUAGAAAAGAAAUGAAAGAAAGUGAAAAGAAAACAAAUGAAAGAAAACAUUUUAAUUAAAAAUUUUAUGUUAGCAAUGAUCAUAAAAUGAUCAUAAUUUGAAAAAAUAUACGAAAAAAUUCAAUAAUGAAUAUUUAAUUUAAAAUUACUUGAAAUAUAAAUAUAUAAAACAUAUUGUCAUUUUGUGCAAAUUAAUAUUAAAAAUAUAAAACAAUUAAAUAUAUCAUAAUUCUAAUAGAUAUUAAAUUAUUGUUUAAUUUUUUAUUAAAUUUAGUGUAUUUAUUUUCAAAAAAUUUUUCAAAUUUUUAAAACUUUUAUUUUCUUAGAUAAUUAUUUAUACAUGUUUAUACCUAUUUAAAAUUGUUUUUAUUUAAAUUUUAUCAUGUAAUGAUAGUAUUUAUUAAAUAAAACUAAUUUCAAUUAUAUAUUAUAAAAUUGAGUUAUAUUAUUAAUAAUAUAAAAAAAUUAAUGUACUAAUAAUAUAGUUAUAUCAUCAAAUUGACUUUAUAUUAAUGAAUAUUUUAUGAAUAAAAUAUUUUUAAGUAAUGUGCAAAUGUGUUCUAUAAAUUUAUAAAAUAAAAUAAAAGAAAUUAUAUUAAGAAUUAUAUUAAGAAAAGUUGUAAUAAAUAGGUAAAUUUAAGAUAUAAGUCUGAUAGAUAUAAUUUAUAAUAAUUAUAAACAUUAAUUGUAUCGAUAUUAAUUUUAAUAUUCGUGAUCUGCCAUUUAUUAUUGUUUUAAUAUUUACAAUUUUUAAUUACAAUAUGUAUGCAUAAUUGUUUAUCGCAAGUUUAAAUAAUAUCUUGCAUUAUAUUUGAUUGGAAAUAUUUUGUAGCGGAAUAUUAUAAAUUUUAUAAAAUAAAAUAAAUUUGAUCACACAAUCAAA